CCGCGUGAGUGAAGAAGGCCUUCGGGUUGUAAAGCUCUUUUGUCAGGGAAGAAACACCGGCUCUAACACAGUCCGGGAAUGACGGUACCUGAAGAAUAAGCACCGGCUAACUACGUGCCAGCAGCCGCGGUAAUACGUAGGGUGCGAGCGUUAAUCGGAAUUACUGGGCGUAAAGCGUGCGCAGGCGGUUAUACAAGACAGGCGUGAAAUCCCCGGGCUUAACCUGGGAAUGGCGCCUGUGACUGUAUAGCUAGAGUGUGUCAGAGGGGGGUAGAAUUCCACGUGUAGCAGUGAAAUGCGUAGAUAUGUGGAGGAAUACCAAUGGCGAAGGCAGCCCCCUGGGAUAACACUGACGCUCAUGCACGAAAGCGUGGGGAGCAAACAGGAUUAGAUACCCUGGUAGUCCACGCCCUAAACGAUGCUGACUAGUUGUUCGGGAUUUACAUCCUGAGUAACGUAGCUAACGCGUGAAGUCAGCCGCCUGGGGAGUACGGUCGCAAGAUUAAAACUCAAAGGAAUUGACGGGGACCCGCACAAGCGGUGGAUGAUGUGGAUUAAUUCGAUGCAACGCGAAAAAGCUUAACUAACCUUGACAUGUCACUAACGAAGUAGAGAUACAUUAGGUGCUCGGUAAGAGAAAGUGAACA
rnacentral:rRNA from 1 species